rnacentral:ncRNA from 2 species
AGGCUUGCUAUAGCCUCGGGUGCCCCGGCCCCUUUUGUUGGGGGCGGGGGUAAACGGGAAGCCGGUGAGAAUCCGGCGCUGGCCCGCAACCGUGACCGGGGACGAAAGCCGCUGGGAGGGCUUGAGUAAGCCCUCUUCGCCCGGGCGCUCGAGGGUUAAGGCCCGAAGGGUUCCCGGGUGGGCCGCCGAAGGGCAAGCCUUCGGGGCGACAGGCCACUGGCGAAGCGCGUGGCGCUCGCUGGGAAGGCGCGGCGAGUAGGAUGAUCCGGAAGCCGGGAGACCGGCCCGAGGCGCAAAGGCGGU